rnacentral:rRNA from 1 species
GACAGAGGUGGCAAGCGUUGCUCGGAAUCACUGGGCGUAAAGGGCGCGUAGGCGGGAUGGCAAGUCAGUCGUGAAAUCUCUCGGCUCAACCGAGAAACGUCGGCUGAUACUGCCGUUCUUGAGGGAUGCAGAGGAGACUGGAAUUCCCGGUGUAGCGGUGAAAUGUGUAGAGAUCGGGAGGAACACCGGUGGCGAAGGCGGGUCUCUGGGCAUCUCCUGACGCUGAGGCGCGAAAGCGUGGGGAGCAAACGGG